rnacentral:rRNA from 1 species
GUACUUGUACUGAUUGAGAUUUUAACACGAAGUGAGUGGCGAACGGGUGAGUAACACGUGGGUAACCUGCCCAGAAGUAGGGGAUAACACCUGGAAACAGAUGCUAAUACCGUAUAACAGAAAAACCGCAUGGUUUUCUUUUAAAAGAUGGCUCUGCUAUCACUUCUGGAUGGACCCGCGGCGUAUUAGCUANUUGGUGAGGUAAAGGCUCACCAGGCAGGAUACGUAGCCGACCUGAGAGUAAUCGGCCACAUUGGGACUGAGACACGGCCCAGACUCCUACGGGAGGCAGCAGUAGGGAAUCUUCCACAAUGGACGCAAGUCUGAUGGAGC